UACGGAGGGGGCUAGCGUUGUUCGGAAUUACUGGGCGUAAAGGGCGCGUAGGCGGCGAUUUAAGUUAGGCGUGAAAGCCCCGGGCUUAACCUGGGAACUGCGCUUGAUACUGGAUUGCUUGAGGACGGAAGAGGGUAGUGGAAUUCCCAGUGUAGAGGUGAAAUUCGUAGAUAUUGGGAAGAACACCAGUGGCGAAGGCGACUACCUGGUCCGUUUCUGACGCUGAGGCGCGAAAGCGUGGGGAGCAAACAGG
rnacentral:rRNA from 2 species